rnacentral:rRNA from 1 species
UACGGUAGGGGGCUAGCGUUGUCCGGAUUUAUUGGGCGUAAAGAGCUCGUAGGUGGUUCGGUAAGUCGGAUGUGAAAUCUCCAGGCUCAACCUGGAGGGUCAUUCGAUACUGCCGUGACUAGAGUCCGGAAGAGGAAAGUGGAAUUCCUGGUGUAGCGGUGAAAUGCGCAGAUAUCAGGAGGAACACCAGCGGCGAAGGCGGCGCUCUGGGCUGGAACUGACGCUGAGGAGCGAAAGCGUGGGGAGCGAACAGG